rnacentral:pre_miRNA from 1 species
CCUGGUUUUCGUGUCCAACAUUUGACCAUCCGCUUUAUUUAAAAAAAUUAUAAAAAAAAUUAAAAAGACAAGUCACGCAUAAAAUAUUAAUCAUGUUUUAUCAUCUAGCAACAAUGAAAAUAUGAAUUAUAAAAAAAUUUUAUAUAAGACGGACAGUCAAAGUUGAACACAGAAACCCAGGGUUUACUUUUUU